AACAGCAAGCUCAGGAGUAGGAAUGGAGCUGUCAGGGAUCUAACAGGUCUGUGCUCCAGUGGCGCAGCUACAUGCACCUCAUCAGCACCAGCAGGAGGAAACUUGUUUUGUGCACAGACUCCAUUUGAGCGCAUUGAAUGAACCGCCAGUCAAGUCGCUGGUCGAGGAGCGAUGGCUGCAUUCUUGGUAAAGAAAAGGAGAUGAGGCGCCGAUAAAUAAAGACGUGAAAACGGCCGGGGAAGACGUCGACACAAAAGCUGUCGGUGGGAGACGUGGACCGAUAUAGCCAAGAGGACCUCCACCGCGGCCACAGACGCAUGGUGGUUCAACCCUGAGCAGCCGGUGCCAGAACUACAGAGAGACCUGCAUGUGUGCCUGAUCAUCCUCAAAGAUGAGAGGGUUUGACUUCCUGGCCAAGCAAAGAAAGACAUAGAAGCUCACUGGCAAGACAGGUGCGUGUUGGAAACAUCCAUCCUGGCUUCUACGGCCAUUAG